rnacentral:rRNA from 1 species
UACGAAGGGGGCUAGCGUUGUUCGGAAUUACUGGGCGUAAAGGGCGCGUAGGCGGCUCUGAUCGUCGGAUGUGAAAGGCCUGGGCUCAACCUGGGAAUGGCAUCCGAUACGGCGGGGCUGGAGUGUGGGAGAGGUUGGUGGAAUUCCCAGUGUAGAGGUGAAAUUCGUAGAUAUUGGGAAGAACACCUAUGGCGAAGGCAGCUGCGCUGGGACGUUACUGACGCUGAGACGCGAAAGCGUGGGGAGCAAACAGG